CGUAACGCGUAUAGAAUCUGCCUUAUACAGGGGAAUAGCCCAGAGAAAUUUGGAUUAAUGCCCCAUAGUAUGUUUUUAUCGCAUGAUAGAAAAAUUAAAGCUCCGGCGGUUUGAGAUGGGCAUGCGAGACAUUAGCUAGUUGGUAAGGUAAAGGCUUACCAAGGCAACGAUGUCUAGGGGUUCUGAGAGGAUGAUCCCCCACACUGGUACUGAGACACGGACCAGACUCCUACGGGAGGCAGCAGUGAGGAAUAUUGGUCAAUGGGCGCAAGCCUGAACCAGCCAUCCCGCGUGUAGGAAGACUGCCCUAUGGGUUGUAAACUACUUUUAUAAAGGAAGAAACCCUUCUACGUGUAGGUUUUUGACGGUAGCACAUGAAUAAGCAUCGGCUAACUCCGUGCCAGCAGCCGCGGUAAUACGGAGGAUGCGAGCGUUAUCCGGAUUCAUUGGGUUUAAAGGGUACGUAGGCGGUCUAAUAAGUCAGUGGUGAAAUCCUGCAGCUUAACUGUAGAACUGCCAUUGAUACUGUUGGACUUGAAUAUAGUUGAGGUAGGCGGAAUGUGUUGUGUAGCGGUGAAAUGCUUAGAUAUAACACAGAACACCGAUUGCGAAGGCAGCUUACUAGACUAUUAUUGACGCUGAGGUACGAAAGCGUGGGGAGCGAACAGGAUUAGAUACCCUGGUAGUCCACGCUGUAAACGAUGUUCACUCGCUGUAUGCGAUACACAGUAUGCGGCCAAGCGAAAGCAUUAAGUGAUCCACCUGGGGAGUACGGUCGCAAGAUUGAAACUCAAAGGAAUUGACGGGGGCCCGCACAAGCGGAGGAACAUGUGGUUUAAUUCGAUGAUACGCGAGGAACCUUACCUGGGCUUAAAUGUAGAGUGCAUAAACGAAAGGUGAUUUUCCUUCGGGACGCUUUACAAGGUGCUGCAUGGUUGUCGUCAGCUCGUGCCGUGAGGUGUCGGGUUAAGUCCCAUAACGAGCGCAACCCCUACCGUUAGUUGCCAUCGGGUCAAGCCGGGGACUCUAGCGGGACUGCCAGUGUAAACUGUGAGGAAGGUGGGGAUGACGUCAAAUCAGCACGGCCCUUAUGCCCAGGGCUACACACGUGUUACAAUGGCCGGUACAGAGGGCAGCUACUAUGUGAAUAGAUGCAAAUCCCCAAAGCCGGUCUCAGUUCGGAUCGGAGUCUGCAACUCGACUCCGUGAAGUUGGAUUCGCUAGUAAUCGUAUAUCAGCAAUGAUACGGUGAAUACGUUCCCGGGCCUUGUACACACCGCCCGUCAAGCCAUGGAAGCUGGGGGUACCUGAAGUCUGUAACCGUAAGGAGCGGCCUAGGGUAAAACUAGUAACUAGGGCU
rnacentral:rRNA from 1 species